CAGCACAAAGUGGGAAGUGACUUACUUUGCCCUGGGGAGGUCAGUUAAGCCUGGAACUGGGUUCCACACAUUACUACAACACUCUUUGUUGCUUUUUUUUUUUUUUUUUUUUUGAGAUGGAGUCUUGCCCCGUCAUCAAGGCUGGAGUGCAGUGGCUUGACCUUGGCUCACUGCAAUCUCUGCCUCAUGGGUUCAAUCGAUUCUCCCGCCUCAGCCUCGGGCUUGUAAGGGUGACGGUGAUGGGGGGGCGGCAGGCAGCCACCUGAUUAGGCUGCACCUGUGAAAUCCCAAUCUCAGCAUUCCCAACCAUUCUUUUUCCCUUCUCCCUUUAGAGUGCAUGUCCUGAAGGUGGUUUGUGGUUCAGGCUGCCAUAGUACCCCAGACAGGGCCCCCAACUUGAACCUGGACUCAAUACUUCCCCUGGGGGUCUCCCCUCUAUGGGGUCCCACAGGAGUGGGGAUGGGACCAAGGAAUACCAAAGCGCUAGGGUCUCUCUAGUGGCAGGGGGAACAUCUGACUUUCCACUAGAAUGGGCAACAUUAUCGGACAUGUUGUUGGGGACCGGCUUGCAAUGGAGCCAUGGCUUCUGCAGUCCCUUGCCGUUCAUCUGUGAGUAAGAAAUCCACUUCAUGGUGUUUGUUGAAUUUGACUGUGUUCUAUCUCACCAGGCUCAGACACGUUCAUAAACAGUGCCCAGUGACACUGCUUCACAAACCCCUUCUAGACCUUUCUCCAGUGAGCCUGGACCAUCCACAGAAACUCCGAGGGAACUAAAUGGAAUAUCACGGGAAGGCAUAGGGUCAGCGGAGGAGCUACCUUGGUCUGUUACUCACGUACUUAGUGAAGGCAGUCAGGUUUCCAGUUAAAUUCUCCAUAUCUGUAACCUAUGGUCACUGUGCUAAAAAUAAUGUGCCAUUUUUUAUUUGCAGGCAGUGGUAUUAUCGAGCUGAUUAGAUUAGGGAUUGGUGUUUACUAGCUAUAUUAAUGGAAAAAGUUAUGAUCAGACACAUUAUCUGCCAAACUAUCUUUGCUUUUGAUCUUUCCUGUUCCCACCAUGGUGUUUCGGUCACAUUGUCAGUGGAUGACACGUGGUUACUGUGGAAAUUGGAUUAAGUGACUCAGAAGUUCCUUUCCAGUGCUGUGAUGCUAUGUGACAUGGUGUUGAUUAUCUGCAAGUGGUCUAGUCUUAGGGCUCGAACGCAGACCGUCACCCAGCUCCAUUUACUUAUGUAUGUUCUAACAACACAGGAAAAAGGACCUCCAGAAGUGAAUGCCCCAGAACGAGUGUUUGACACUCCUGACUUUGCAGGUGGACAGAAAAACCACAUCUGUCCAGGCCCCAGCACAGGAGUAUGAUCCUGGCCACUUCUAAAAAUACUCAGGAUCAGAAAGAAAAAUCUUUACUUUGACUAGAAAGUGUUAUUAUAUAGGAGACUUUCAAGAUCUGUAGCAAAACACCUUCUAUGUGCCAUGCAUUUUGUAUUCAUUUUUGAACUCUCUGGUCCUACAUGUAGGUGUCAUUUGCUCAGUUUUACGAAUGAAGGAUGGAGGUUCAAGGUGUGGCUGCAAUGAGCCAGGACUGGAAACC
rnacentral:lncRNA from 1 species